CGGGCGGUAGCUCAGCUUGGCAGAGCUUCCGGCUGUAGACCGGACCGUCGCAGGAGAACCAUGGCUAGCCCAUGGUUCGGCGAAUUCAAAUCCCGCCCGCCCGACCA
rnacentral:tRNA from 1 species